UCCCCGGUGGCUGAGUGGUAAAGCAUCUGCCUGCCAAUGCAGGAGACAUGGGUUCAAUCCCUGACUGAGGAA
rnacentral:tRNA from 1 species